rnacentral:rRNA from 1 species
GACGUAGGGCGCGAGCGUUGUCCGGAUUUAUUGGGCGUAAAGAGCUCGUAGGCGGCUUGUCGCGUCGUCCGUGAAAAACCUGCAGCUCAACUGCAGGCCUGCAGUCGAUACGGGCAGACUAGAGUGCAGUAGGGGAGACUGGAAAUUCCUGGUGUAGCGGUGAAAUGCGCAGAUAUCAGGAGGAACACCGGUGGCGAAGGCGGG